rnacentral:lncRNA from 1 species
GAGCCUUGCUCUUUUGCCCAGGCUGGAGUGAAGUGGUGCAAUCUCGGCUCACUGCAGCCCUCUGCCUCCCAGGUUCCAGAGAUUCUCCUGCCUCAGGCUCCUGGCUAGCUGAAAUUACAGAUGUUUCAUAUUAAGAAGUCAUUAACUUGACUGCAGUUACUCUUUCUCCUGCAUGGUGAGCAAUCAUUGAUUUAUCUGCUCAGCUUCUCUGUCUGUUUGCAUAUAUGUAUAUACCUAUCUUCGAUUGUUAAUCUAUCUGCCUGAGUCCCUAGAGGUUGUAUCUGGGCUUUUAGAGUUUCACUAUUAUUCCAUGAUUAUGUACAAGCACCUCAAACUAUUUUGGCUACAGCACUCUGUCUCUCCAACUGUGAAUGAGUUGAGAAACAUAUUCAAAGUGUCAACAACUUCACAAGUAUCCCCAAGCCUUAUUAUUUCCCUCCUCUUUCUGGACUCUCCCAUGAACAUGAAACAUGUAUAAGUACGUCAGAGAUUACUCAAACCAUUGUUUAACGCUCUCUCAACUUCCAAAAUCUACUUUUUAAAUUUCUACCUGCUCUGCUAUUACUUGAACCUGGCUAGUAAAAUUUUCACCACUCUAUCUGGGGAAGGAAAUUAGAAUAACCCUAGGGAAGAAGGCAACAAAUUUGCCAUACUUACCAGGGACAGUGAAAGUUUUUCAUGAAUAAAUGUCUUCUGUUACCUAGUGCAACGAAAUGAUUGUUUCAUAUGUACUCCAAUUUUGUAUGGAUUUUCUGUAUAAAUUGUCUGACCUCUUCAUGCCACCAUUCCCAGAAAUAAAGCUUCAAGAAACAUUACUUUUACAAACAUAUUAGUAGAAAUAGUGUAUGUGAUAGCAGCAGGAGGCAGGCAAAUCCUAGGCAGACAGGGGUGGGUGCCCAGUGAAACCGACCUUCAAGCCGAAGACAGUUUAAAGCUUGAAAACCAAGCUACAAGUCUCAGAUAAAUCUGUUGACCAGAUUGAGAACCUCUCUUCCUGUUUGGUGUGCUUUCCUCUCAUUGAUGCCCACCCUUCACCUAUUUUACAUAUACCUAGGCUUCCCAAUUGGUUUUUGCCCUGUUGUGCCCAUCUUUUGAGUGGUGCUUUUUUCUAACCUUUUUUGCAUAUUUGCAGCACACAAUUCCCCAUUCUAAGCCCAUAAACCCCAAAUCAGACACACUGGGAGAUUACCUGACUUCCCAUAGGGGGCUGCCCUCUUUAAGUCCCCUCUCUGCUGAGAACUGUCACUCAAUAAAACUCUUCGCCUUGCUCACCCUUCAGCUGUCAGUGUAACCUCAUUCUUCUUAGACGCAGGACAAGAACCCAGGACCUGCGGAACACGAGUACAAAAAAUGCUGAAACACUGUAGUCCUCCACCCUCUGGAAGCACCAGGCAGCUGCCCCAGAAGACAGGCAAUGGCAGGGCUGGGCCAGCCCAAAAGCCAUGGGCUAGAGGGGGGUGGUGGGAAGGAGAGAAGAGUUAUGACCCUUCUGGGGUCCUAGACCUCGGGGAUCCCUGAGCGAGAGCUGUAACACUCUGUAACACACCCCUUGGGGCUCCAGGGCCACUGGCAUCUCCAAAUUUGGGGGGCGCCACCAUGUUCCUCUCAUCUAGACACGAACACCCAAGGCAGAAGCAACUUGUAGUAUGCCUGGUCCAGCCGCAGCCUCACGCAGCGCCGGCACCUGUGUGGCCACCUGGAGCUCCCCGCCCUGCAGCAGCAGCCAGUGCUGACACAUCCCUCGCCACUCCGCACCUGGCUCGCCUUUGGUGGGUGUGAGAUCCAGGCCGGGGCGCAAGCCAUGCUCAGCGGACUGGGCUGAGUGGGCAGGAUAUCUCCAGAGGCAAUCCCGGAGCCAACAGAGGCCUUGGGCAGGGGCAUUUCCAGCCGCAGAGGUCUCCGGCUGGAGAAGAACUGAAAAAUUCCUGCAUUAUAUGUAUACUGGAAAUUUGGUAAGAGAGUAGAUCUUAAGUGUUCUCACCAUGCACACACACACACACACAAACACACACACACACACGAUAGAAAGUCAUCCAUGUGAAGUGAUGAAUGUGUUACCUACCUAGAUUGCGGUAAUAAUUUCACAAUGUAUACAUACAUCAAAUCAUCACAUUAUAUACCUUAAACAUAUACAGCUUUAUUUGGCAAUUAUACCUCACUAAAGCUUUGAAAAUAUUUUGCAGUUUAUUCUCAAGGUUUGAAAUAUAGGAAAAAUUAUCAAAAUUAUACUUGC